rnacentral:lncRNA from 1 species
GAAAACCCCACCUGUUCAGGCAAGCCCUGAAGGAAGAUGACAGAUUUCAGUGUGACUGAAAGUGUUUUUCCUACCAAUUCCACUUUGGCCAGCUCCACACUUACAGAUGAAAUGAAGCAACUCAAUAAGAAUCCUCUUAACAUCCCUUGAAUAUCAAAGUGUAACUUUGAAAAUGGUUUUAAAUGUCACAGGUACCCUGAUCCACCCAGUCAAUCUACCCAGACACAGUGUGGGCAAUGAAAUGUUACCUUCUGUUGUAAGGAAAGUGGCUGAGAACAUUCCCCAGCCCACUGCAUGCUCAGGCUACA